GACGAACGCUGGCGGCGUGCUUAACACAUGCAAGUCGAACGGUGAAGCGCCUUCCUUUUUGGUGGGUGUGGAGGAGUGGCGAACGGGUGAGUAACACGUGAGUAACCUGCCCCCUUCUUCUGGAUAACCGCAUGAAAGUGUGGCUAAUACGGGAUAUUCUGGGUCUGUCGCAUGAUGGGUCUGGGAAAGAUAUUGUUUCGGUGGUGGAUGGGCUCGCGGCCUAUCAGCUUGUUGGUGGGGUGAUGGCCUACCAAGGCGGCGAUGCGUAGCCGGCCUGAGAGGAGGGUGGACGACAAUGGUAGUAAUGCACGACGCAGCAGACUACGGGAGGCGGCAGCAGUGGAGCAUAUUGCACGAGGGGCGGACGGCCGGAGCAGCGCCGCCGCGGGGGGGAUGGAGGUCGUAGGGUUGUAAUCCUCUAUUGCGAGUGAAGAAAGCCUGAAUCAUUUGUGGGUAGGUUGACGGUAGCUGAAUAGGAAGCCACGGCUAACUACGUG
rnacentral:rRNA from 1 species